AUGGCCAUAUAGUGUUGUAACACCGGUUCCUGUAUGAUAACCAAAGUUAAGCAACAUCAAGCUUGGUCAGUACCUAGAUGGGUUACUGCUUGAGAAUACCAGGUGCUGUA